rnacentral:rRNA from 1 species
AACGAACGCUGGCGGCAGGCCUAACACAUGCAAGUCGAGCGAAGCCUUCGGGCUUAGCGGCGGACGGGUGAGUAACGCGUGGGAACGUGCCCUUUGGUACGGAAUAGCCCCGGGAAACUGGGGGUAAUACCGCAUGUGCCCUUCGGGGGCAAGAUUUAUCGCCAAAGGAUCGGCCCGCGUUGGAUUAGGUAGUUGGUGGGGUAAUGGCCUACCAAGCCGACUAUCCAUAGCUGGUUUGAGAGGAUGAUCAGCCACACUGGGACUGAGACACGGGCCAGACACCUACGGGAGGCAGCAGUGGGGAAUCUUAGACAAUGGGGGAAACCCUGAUCUAGCCAUGCCGCGUGAUCGAUGAAGGCCUUAGGGUUGUAAAGAUCUUUCAGUGGGGAAGAUAAUGACUGUACCCACAGAAGAAGCCCCGGCUAACUCCGUGCCAGCAGCCGCAGUAAUAC